CCCUUAGAUGUUCUGGGCCGCACGCGCGCUACACUGACUGACUCAACGAGUGUACAACCUGCUUCGACAGAAGUGGGUAAUCUUUUGAAAUUCAGUCGUGAUGGGGCUAGAUUAUUGCAACUAUUAAUCUUCAACGAGGAAUGCCUAGUAAGCGCAAGUCAUCAGCUUGCGUUGAUUACGUCCCUGCCCUUUGUACACACCGCCCGUCGCUCCUACCGAUUGGGUGCUCCGGUGAAUUGUUUGGACUGCUGUCAGUCUUUUUGGCUGUCGGCGAGAAGCUCUGUGAACCUUAGCACCUAGAGGAAGGAGAAGUCGUAACA
rnacentral:rRNA from 1 species